AUUGAACGCUGGCGGCAUGCCUUACACAUGCAAGUCGAACGGCAGCACGGGGGCAACCCUGGUGGCGAGUGGCGAACGGGUGAGUAAUGCAUCGGAACGUACCCGGAAGUGGGGGAUAACGUGGCGAAAGUUACGCUAAUACCGCAUAUUCUGUGAGCAGGAAAGUGGGGGACCGCAAGGCCUCACGCUUUCGGAGCGGCCGAUGUCGGAUUAGCUAGGUGGCGGGGUAAAGGCCCACCAAGGCGACGAUCCGUAGCGGGUCUGAGAGGAUGAUCCGCCACACUGGGACUGAGACACGGCCCAGACUCCUACGGGAGGCAGCAGUGGGGCAUUUUGGACAAUGGGCGCAAGCCUGAUCCAGCCAUGCCGCGUGAGUGAAGAAGGCCUUCGGGUUGUAAAGCUCUUUCGGCGGGGAAGAAAUUGCACUCGUUAAUACCGGGUGUAGAUGACGGUACCCGCAUAAGAAGCACCGGCUAACUACGUGCCAGCCGCCGCCGUAAAAC
rnacentral:rRNA from 1 species